AAGAGUUUUAAACUCCCAAACCCUUGUGAACAUACCUGUUACUGUUGCUUCGGCGGGCCGCCCCUGGGAGGGGUUUCCGGCCUGUGAAGGCGCCCGCCGAAGGGCUUAAAAACUCUUGAAUUUUUUUUCGUCUGAGAAAAUAAGCAAAUAAGUUA
rnacentral:misc_RNA from 1 species